rnacentral:pre_miRNA from 1 species
GCAAGGCAGCAAUUGUUCUUUGGUCUUUCAGCCAUGACCUGACCUUCUGUCUUUAGGACUGAAGAAGCUACUUUGCUUGGC